CAGGCCGGCCGGGCGACCGCGUCGCGUCGUACCACGGCGUGCCGAGGAAGGUCCGGACUCCACAGGGCAAGGUGGUGGGCAGCACCCACCCGAGGCAACUCGCGGGACAGUGCCACAGAAAGCAGACCGCCUGCGACUCCGUUCCGGCGGAGUGCGGGUAAGGGUGAAACGGUGGUGUAAGAGACCACCAGCACCCCAGGUGACUGGGGUGGCUCGGUAAACCCCACCCGGAGCAAGGCCAAGAGGGCCCGCUGCGUGAGCAGCCGGCCUGCGCGAGCGUUCGAGGACGGCCCGUCCGAGCUCGCGGGUAGGCCGCCAGAGGGCACCGGCGACGGUGUCCCUAGAUGGAUGGUCGCCGCCGUCGCGCCCGUGAGGGACGACGGCACAGAAUCCGGCCUACAGGCCGGCCUGUCCG
rnacentral:RNase_P_RNA from 1 species